GCCCGCAUGGCUCAGUGGUAGAGCGUGACACUAGUAUGGAGCUAUGUCAAGGUCGUCAGUUCGAUUCUGGCUGUGGGCA
rnacentral:tRNA from 1 species